ACCAAAAGGCUAUUCUACGGUGGACUUAGACCUGACAAAAGUGACAGCUUUAGAGGAGGGACAUGUUUGUCCAUUGGCCCGGUCCCCACCUGGCUGUCUUCAUUUUUUCAUAUUUCCUGCCUGACCUUGGAGCCAUUUGAUUCAUGACAUAUCCAUUAUCAUGUUCACAUGAGUAAAAAGUAAAAAGUCCUGGAAAAGAAUGGGAAAACCUGGAAUCUAAUCCUGCCUCUGGCAUUUACCAAGAUGGGGUUUGAGAUCAACUACUUGAUCUCUCUGGGCCUCAUUUUCUCCCUUUAUAAGAAAUGGAAGACUUGAAACCAGAUGCCUACUUGAGCAAAUACUUCAGAGAAGAUCUUCAUUUAGAGGGUAAUCAGCAAAAAAAGGUUUGUGUCUAUGACUUUUAUCAGUUUUCAGAGGGGGAGGAUGGUGGUGAAUUGCUAGUGUGUAUUUGAAGUGGGAAGGGAAAUCAGUAAGUUUGGGGCAGGAAUGCAGAGGGAGGACGGCAGCCACAGAAAGGGCACUGGGAAGAGUUCUUGGCUUUCUUCAGUGGUCCCUGGGAUGGAGAGAGAUAGAGAAGCUCUAUCUCAGUUUAGUUCUAAACUAAAGAGACAUAGAGAAGCUCUGGGUGGAGAACAGGCAGUUUAGUUCUCCUGACUUUUAACAGAUGUUCUUUCCCUUGUUAAUCUUCUCAGCCAUGAUGAUGUUGCUUAAAGGAGCUUUAUCUCUGGGGAGUCAUUACUCACUAUGCCAGUGAAUGUUCAGAUGAACCACAGGCAAGACGGACCCUCAAUAGCUCACACUCUAUUGGGGGGCAGAUGCAGGUCCCCAUCCUAAGUUAGGAUUAAGUUUCUUCCCCCUUCUUAUUGUUGGUUCCAGUCACUUUGGAUCUCUCCUAGAAAAUAGACUGAUUAGGGGUGCCUGUGUGGCUCAGUUGGUUAAGCAGACUGACUCUUGAUUUUGGCUCAGGUUCUGAUUUUGUGCUUCAUG